rnacentral:rRNA from 1 species
GAUGAACGCUGGCGGCGUGCCUAAUACAUGCAAGUCGAGCGAACAGACGAGGAGCUUGCUCCUCUGACGUUAGCGGCGGACGGGUGAGUAACACGUGGAUAACCUACCUAUAAGACUGGGAUAACUUCGGGAAACCGGAGCUAAUACCGGAUAAUAUAUUGAACCGCAUGGUUCAAUAGUGAAAGACGGUUUUGCUGUCACUUAUAGAUGGAUCCGCGCCGCAUUAGCUAGUUGGUAAGGUAACGGCUUACCAAGGCGACGAUGCGUAGCCGACCUGAGAGGGUGAUCGGCCACACUGGAACUGAGACACGGUCCAGAUUCCUACGGGAGGCAGCAGUAGGGAAUCUUCCGCAAUGGGCGAAAGCUUGACGGAGCAACGCCGCGUGAGUGAUGAAGGUCUUCGGAUCGUAAAACUCUGUUAUUAGGGAAGAACAAAUGUGUAAGUAACUAUGCACGUCUUGACGGUACCUAAUCAGAAAGCCACGGCUAACUACGUG